CUCAACACUCAUUUAGAAGUUACUAACAAGGAACUCAUAAUUGCCUUAUUAAUUAGCAAGUGUGGAGAAAGUUUUUCAGCCUUGUCCUGGGCUCCCCAGGCCUGCACUGUCAUUGCCUCUCCAGGUGAAGUGAUAAUUGCAGCCCUGAGGGGAAGUGAGGUCACAGGAGCACAAACCUUUAUCUCAGGGCCCAGCUCCCUCCCUCCCUCCAUGCUGGCUGCCAGGACCUCACACUGAGCCCAGCACCCUGCACACAAGAAGCACAUGUUAUUCUCAGUGAUUCCUGUUUGAGUUCUCAUCUUGGACUCUGGCUCUGAAUAUUUCACCCUGUGCAGACACCUGCAGCAGGUCAAGUACAUCCAAUGAAUGACCUUUUAGCAGGUUAGCAUCACCUGAUCAUCAAGGCUCAGUUUUCUGGAAAGCACACUGUCAAUUCUCCCCAGUAACUUGUGCACCUUGAGGUCAUCGAAAUCCUGCAGGUGUAUGCAAUGAAAGCUGCUCUUGGUGUCAAAAGUUAUUUUAAGAAGGGGAUCUCAUUUUGUUGCUCAGGCUGGCUCGAAAUUCCUGUGCUGCAGUGAUUCUCCUGCCUCAGCUUUGCAGUUAGCAUUUGGAUACAAGUGCUCACAAUGGUGCUGGGCCCAGCUACUGUUAAUGAGUCAUUUUGCUCAGAGGAAUGACUGUUGCCAUAAUGUAAAGGACGUUGUGCUGAAUGAAAAUAUGACCUCCUGGAAUGUGGCAAUAGGACUGAUGUUCUUAUCACUGGUUGUUGGAAUUCUGGGAAAUUUAUCUCUGUUUUAUUAUUAUUUAGUCCGUACCUGCAAUGACUGUACAGUAAGGUACACAGAUAUGAUUCUCAAGCACCUGAUGAUAGCCAACUCCUUGGUCAUUCUCUCUAAAGGGAUUCCCCAGACAAUCACAGCUUUUGGUUUGAAGAAUUUCUUCAAUGACCUUGGAUGCAAACUUAUUUUGCAUAUUCAGCGAGUGGGCAGGAGUGUGUCCAUUGGCAUCACCUGCCUCUUGAGCAUCUUCCAUAACAUCACAAUCAGCCCCAUGGUGAUGCUAAGGAAUAGCUGGAAGAAUCUCAAAGGAAGAUCUUCCAAGUACAUUGGCUUCUCCAUUUCCCUCUGCUGGAUCCUGUACAUGGUGGUGAAUCCCAUUUUUUCUCUCUAUAUGCUCAGCAAAUGAAGUAGUGAAAAGAAGACAGAGAAAAGAGAUAUUGGGUACUGUUCUUCUGCAGGUCGUGACAAAAUAACAACUUGUUAUAUGCAGCCUUA